rnacentral:rRNA from 1 species
CGAAUUGGUUUGAGCUAAGUACCGCGGCUUGUUAGAGUAAUGAUGCGCGUAGUAGAGCGCAAUGUCCAAGGGUAUUUAGGGGCGAUAGGCUAUUCAAAAACUAGGAUAACUUGAUACCAUAAAAAAGUAUCUAGUACUUAAAACAAAUAUAAAGUGUUUAGGCUUUGUAUGUAUAUAAUAGUUUAUUUGUGCCUAGAAAGGAUAUAACCAUCUCUUGUGAUCCCAAUAUACUAUUUUAAUUUAAGGGUAUGUAUACAUAUAUAUGGUUUAGUUGUGCAAUUUGGGCCAACUGUGAUAAUGUUUACAUAAGUACGCUUAUGAGACCUAGAUAACGAACUCGGCAAAACUUUUCUUCAACUGUUUAUCAAAAACAUAACUAUAUGUACUCAUAUAUAGCUAUUUCUGCUCAAUGUAAUUUAUAAAUGGCCGCAGUACCUUGACUGUGCUAAGGUAGCGUAAUCAAUUGGCUUAUAAUUGGAGUCUAGAAUGAAUGAAGCCAUGGGGAAAUACUGUUUCGUUUAGGUUUAGUGGAAAUUACUUAGUAGGUGAAAAAUCCUACGGUAAAAAAAUAGACGAGAAGACCCUUGAAAUUUUUAAGAAAAUAUGACGAAACCAUUUUUGUUGGGGCGACAUAGUAGCACGACAACCUACUGGAAAUACAUACGUAUUAAGUGCAAAGAUUAAAUAAAUUACUCUAGGGAUAACAGCAUAAUAUUUAAAAGUUUGUGACCUCGAUGUUGGACUAGGAAUAUAAAGUUUAGAAGACUACUAUAAACGGCUCUGUU